rnacentral:rRNA from 1 species
UGCAAGUCGAGGGGCAUCACGGAAAAGCUUGCUUUUCUGGUGGCGACCGGCGCACGGGUGCGGAACGCGUAUGGAACCUGCCCCUGUCAGGGGAAUAGCCCAGGGAAACUUGGAUUAAUGCCCCAUGGUAUCGAUAUAUCGCAUGAUAUUUUGAUUAAAGAUUUAUCGGACAGGGAUGGCCAUGCGUACCAUUAGUUAGUUGGUGGGGUAACGGCCCACCAAGGCAGCGAUGGUUAGGGGCCCUGAGAGGGGGAUCCCCCACACUGGUACUGAGACACGGACCAGACUCCUACGGGAGGCAGCAGUGAGGAAUAUUGGACAAUGGGCGGGAGCCUGAUCCAGCCAUGCCGCGUGCAGGAUGACGGCCCUAUGGGUUGUAAACUGCUUUUAUACGGGAAGAAAUGCGCCCACGUGUGGGCGUCUGACGGUACCGUAAGAAUAAGGACCGGCUAACUCCGUGCCAGCAGCCGCGGUAAUACGGAGGGUCCGAGCGUUAUCCGGAAUCAUUGGGUUUAAAGGGUCCGUAGGCGGGCCUGUAAGUCAGGGGUGAAAGUUUGUGGCUCAACCAUAAAAUUGCCUUUGAUACUGCAGGUCUUGAGUCAUGGUGGGGUCGCCGGAACAUGUGGUGUAGCGGUGAAAUGCAUAGAUAUCACAUAGAACACCGAUCGCGAAGGCAGGUGACCAACCAUGUACUGACGCUGAUGGACGAAAGCGUGGGUAGCGAACGGGAUUAGAUACCCCGGUAGUCCACGCCGUAAACGAUGGAUACUA